CGAAAGGGAAACAGCCCAGACCACCAGCUAAGGUCCCAAAAUAUAUGUUAAGUGGAAAAGGAUGUGGCGUUGCCCAGACAACUAGGAUGUUGGCUUAGAAGCAGCCAUCAUUUAAAGAGUGCGUAAUAGCUCACUAGUCGAGUGACACUGCGCCGAAAAUGUACCGGGGCUAAACAUAUUACCGAAGCUGUGGAUUGUCCUUUGGACAAUGGUAGGAGAGCGUUCUAAGGGCGUUGAAGCAUGAUCGUAAGGACAUGUGGAGCGCUUAGAAGUGAGAAUGCCGGUGUGAGUAGCGAAAGACGGGUGAGAAUCCCGUCCACCGAUUGACUAAGGUUUCCAGAGGAAGGCUCGUCCGCUCUGGGUUAGUCGGGUCCUAAGCUGAGGCCGACAGGCGUAGGCGAUGGAUAACAGGUUGAUAUUCCUGUACCACCUAUAAUCGUUUUAAUCGAUGGGGGGACGCAGUAGGAUAGGCGAAGCGUGCGAUUGGAUUGCACGUCUAAGCAGUAAGGCUGAGUAUUAGGCAAAUCCGGUACUCGUUAAGGCUGAGC
rnacentral:rRNA from 1 species